rnacentral:snRNA from 1 species
UGGGAACGAGCCAGCAGGCCA